ensembl:misc_RNA 7SK 7SK RNA
GGAUGUGAGGGCGAUCUGGCGGGGACGUCUGUCACUCCACUGAUCACCAGGGUUGAUUUAGCUGAUCUGGCUGGCUAGAUGCGUGUCCCCUUCCUCCCUCACUGUUCCAGGUGUGUCCCUCCCGAAGCUGUGACCUUCAUCGAAGGGGGCGACCACCCCCGAUAGAGGAGGACCGGACUUUGGUCAAGGGUAUGUGAGUAGCUGCGCUCCCCUGCUAGAACCUCCAAACAAGCUCUCGAGAAGGGGCGGGCGGGGGCUAGCUCCCUCUCUUUCUGCCAUGUGAGGACACAACGAGAAGUCAGCAGUCUGCAAUCC